CCCCUGGUGGUCUAAGGGUUAGGACGCGGUGCUUUCACCACAGAGGCCCGGGUUCAAUCCCUGGCCUGGGAG
rnacentral:tRNA from 1 species